UCUCCUCCUCGACAUCGCCCCCCACUGACGUCGACGGGGCAGACCCCUGCGUGGGCCGCCAGAUCCACAUCCGCCACCCGCGAUUCGCUCGCUGACCACGACCAGCGCAGUCUCGGGCGACCUCAGCUGGCCAGGCCCCGGCCGUGAGUGCGGCCGCCGCCGCGGCCUCCGUCGUCGUCCCCGCCACGCCGAGCCGCUGCAGAGGAGGACAAGGAAAGGGAGGAGCCACAGCGGAAGACAUCCCGCCACGCCGAUCUGCCCACCGGGCAACCACGCCAGGCCGCCGCGCCUCUCGCCGGGCCGUCACGUGCGCCACGCCAAGAUGGCCACCGGGCCGCGGACGAGGAGAACAGAAGAGAAGGGGCCGCCAUGGCGGAACGGCCCAACCGCAUCGAGCCGGCGGCCCUCUCUCGGCCGCGCGGCCCUCUCUCGGCCGCGCGGCCCGACGUGGCGCCUCUGCCUCACGCGGCCUGGGCCGUGCUCUUGCGCCGCCGCCGGCUGCCACACCCGACCGCGGCUCGCCCUCCACCUGACCGCCGUGCAACGCAGCGCUAGCUCGCGCCGCGUGGCCUAGCCCUCCUGCCGUUGGCCAAAGGAAGGCAGCAUGCCCGCACGCCUGAGCAUCCUCUUCUUUGGAUCACGGCUGCAGCUACCUUUACAAGAAGGACGUCCCUCCUCUGCUCCUAACUUUUGCCAUGGCCGGCGCUCACUACCUGUUCGACGAAAUGCACAUCCCAUGUUUGCCAACAGAUUGUACACAGAGCUCCAGCAGAGUGCCAUCCUUAUAAACACACCUCCAUCUGCAGUCACUGCGCGCUGCCGGGCGCGGCAAGCGGCUGGCGGUGGAGUGCGUCCCCCGCAGCAGCGCUGUACGGGCCAUGGACGGUGUCCACCGGCGAGGCCGUGGCGCUCAUGCCGGCCGGCCGCAAUGGAGGGGCUCGCAAUAGCGCCGCGUAGGUGGGGCAGCGGCAAGGAGCAUGCCGACGUGCGGCCAGCCGGCGAUGAAGCGCCUCGACCACCACGACACGCAGAUGCGGCAGCGGUGACGAGAGCAAGCUGCGCUGAUGCCCCAGCCUGUGCUCGCUAUUCUCCGAAAUCCAAAAGUGAAACAGGUGAUUUUGAGCUUGGGAGUUGCUUGGACGACCAAUUUUGGAGCCAAUGGAGGGGAUGUCAAGACCCCUCGAUCGAUUGGCUAGGCCAUAUGAGUAUGAAGCGCUUCUUUCCCUUGGGACACUGAAUCUAUUCCCAACGAAUUAGCAGACGCUGUCGAUUCAUCUUGUUCUUCCCUGUUUCUUUGAAAGAUAAGAAGUUGAUAUAUUUCUGUUUGAAUAAUAAUGCUAUUACCAGAGACCAUAAGAAUAAUUGCUGCUACAUGGGUGUAGCUUUAUUGC